AGCUUUGCGCAGUGACAGUAUCGUAGCCAAUGAGGUUUAUCCGAGGCGCGAUUAUUGCUAACUGAAAUAAACAUGAAAUAGAAAGAACACUACAUAUUUUCACUGAGUUAAGGUAGAAAUUUUGAAUUGUUUACACUAAA